GUCUCUGCCUUACCCUUCCCACAUAUCCACAUCUCCUCCCCACCUUCUCUCUUUAUCUUUCUCUCCUCUCUGUUCUCACGUCUCCACCCUAUUCCCUAUUUAUCUCUCUUCCUCUCUGUUCUUCUUCUUGAACAGAACCACCAAAAUCACCUAUCUCCCCAUUUCCUCUUUAUCUCUCUCCCUCUCUCUCGAUCACCACCAUCGCGGGCAUCGACCACCUCUAUUCCUGUCCUCCUCCCUCUCUCUGUUGUAUUUUUUUUCCCCGAAAUACAUCUUCAAUCUAGCUCCAUUGUUCAUCAUUGUUAUCUUUGUUGAAGUCGAUUUGCCGCUGCUCAUCAUCACCACUCGCAAGGUUCCCUUUCUCCCACCCUCGAUUGUUCCCUUCGCAAGAUAGAAAUCACGAUCUGCUCCAAAAUUGAAUUUUGAAAUCGUGAUUUCCCUUCAAAUUGAAAUUCUGUUUGAACACAAUUUGAAUUAUGAAAUGAAAUCGUCAUUCUGAAAUCGUGAUUUCCCUUCAAAUUGAAUUUCCCUGCAAAUUGAAUUCUGUUUGAACAAUUCUGUUGGAUUUGAAUUUAACCUAUCGAUUUCAGGUCGAAAUCACGAUCCGCUCAAAAAAUUGUUCAUUUUUCCCUGGAUUUGGUACUUUAAGAAAUCACAUUCUUGUGUGGUUGCUUUGAAUUUAACCUAUCAAUUACGGGUGAGCAUAUUUUACUUGGAUCAGUAGAUUUGUUGAUGUAUAUUUUUGAAUUGACUGAGUUGUUUGUGUGUGCUGUGAUUGUAGCAUUUGUUUGAUAGAUCUUGAAAAAUUGGCUCCCCAACGCCAGCAGCGCCACAUGGAUGGCCAGAUGCAACAGAACAAUGCUGCUGCGACAAUUGCUCCGUAUGAUCACCCUGGCGGAGGGUCCCUGCGCAAUGAGGGUCCCGGAAGCGAUGCUGGAGAUGCAGUCUUGGCACGCUGGCUCCAGUUCGUCGGGUUUGCAGCAUUUGGCCUCACCUUUGGCAUCUACCAAAAUUGAUCAUCGCCUCUUACCUAACCUUCUCAUGGAGCGACGGUGGAGAUGCAGUCAUGGCACGCUGGCUCCAGUCCGCCGGGUUGCAGCAUCUGGCCUCACCCUUAGCAUCUACCCGAGUUGAACAUCGCCUCCUAUCUAACCUUCUCAUGCAGGCAUCGGAAUUUGGUGAGGAGAAUAGUUGUAAAGGCUCCAUCAAUAGAGGGAAUGGAAGGUGAGGGAAGAUUAAUCGAAUGAUCAACCUUUUGGUUGAGGAAAAAGUUCUCCUUUGCUAAACUUUUGAUUGGGGUGAGGAAAAGGUUCCCCUUUGCUUGACUGGGUUAAGUUUAUGAACUUAUCUAUUUUUUGGAUGAUGUUCUCUUUGCUAAUUAUUUUUAUUAUUAUUUCUUGUUUUUGGGAAAAAGUAAAAAAAUUAGCAGUUUUUUUGCUUUUUUUGUUUGCAUUACUUCUAAAUAGUUUGAAUGCUCUCAAUUGGAUCUUAGUUGUGAGUCUAUGAAAUAUUUCUUUUGA